rnacentral:rRNA from 1 species
GAGGGCGAGUCUGGUGCCAGCAGCCGCGGUAAUUCCAGCUCCAAUAGCGUAUAUUAAAAUUGUUGCAGUUAAAAAGCUCGUAGUUGAAUUUCUGCUGCUCCGCAUUUUCCCUUUGAGGGGUUUUUGCGCUGUGGCUUAUUUCGGACUGUGUUAUGCACUGUCCGGAUGUUUACUUUGAGAAAAUUAGAGUGCUCAAAGCAGGCUUUUGCCUUGAAUAGUUUAGCAUGGAAUAAUAAAGUAGGACUUUGGUUCUAUUUUGUUGGUUUUAGGUACCAAAGUAAUGGUUAAUAGGAACAGUUGGGGGCAUUCGUAUUUAACUGUCAGAGGUGAAAUUCUUAGAUUUGUUAAAGACGAACUACUGCGAAAGCAUUUGCCAAGGAUGUUUCCAUUAAUCAAGAACGAAAGUUAGGGGAUCGAAGACGAUCAGAUACCGUCGUAGUCCUAACCAUAAACUAUGCCGACUAGAGAUUGGAGGUCGUCAGUUUUUACGACUCCUUCAGCACCUUGAGAG